AUUGAACGCUGGCGGCAUGCCUUACACAUGCAAGUCGAACGGCAGCACGGGAGCAAUCCUGGUGGCGAGUGGCGAACGGGUGAGUAAUAUAUCGGAACGUGCCCAGUCGUGGGGGAUAACGCAGCGAAAGCUGUGCUAAUACCGCAUACGAUCUAAGGAUGAAAGCGGGGGAUCGCAAGACCUCGCGCGAUUGGAGCGGCCGAUAUCAGAUUAGCUAGUUGGUGGGGUAAAGGCCCACCAAGGCGACGAUCUGUAGCUGGUCUGAGAGGACGACCAGCCACACGGGAACUGAGACACGGUCCAGACUCCUACGGGAGGCAGCAGUGGGGAAUUUUGGACAAUGGGCGCAAGCCUGAUUCAGCAAUGCCGCGUGCAGGAUGAAGGCCUUCGGGUUGUAAACUGCUUUUGUACGGAACGAAACGGCCCUUUCUAAUACAGGGGGCUAAUGACGGUACCGUAAGAAUAAGCACCGGCUAACUACGUGCCAGCCGCCGCGGUAA
rnacentral:rRNA from 1 species